AUUGAACGCUGGCGGCAUGCUUUACACAUGCAAGUCGGACGGUAACAGGCCGCAAGGUGCUGACGAGUGGCGAACGGGUGAGUAAUGCAUCGGAACGUGCCCAGUCGUGGGGGAUAACUGCUCGAAAGAGCAGCUAAUACCGCAUACGAUCUAUGGAUGAAAGCGGGGGACCGUAAGGCCUCGCGCGAUUGGAGCGGCCGAUGUCAGAUUAGGUAGUUGGUGGGGUAAAGGCUCACCAAGCCAACGAUCUGUAGCUGGUCUGAGAGGACGACCAGCCACACUGGGACUGAGACACGGCCCAGACUCCUACGGGAGGCAGCAGUGGGGAAUUUUGGACAAUGGGGGCAACCCUGAUCCAGCAAUGCCGCGUGCAGGAAGAAGGCCUUCGGGUUGUAAACUGCUUUUGUACGGAACGAAACGGUCUGGGUUAAUACCCUGGGCUAAUGACGGUACCGUAAGAAUAAGCACCGGCUAACUACGUGCCAGCAGCCGCAGUAACAC
rnacentral:rRNA from 1 species